rnacentral:rRNA from 1 species
ACGCGUGGAACCUUACCAGGUCUUGACAUCCCAUUGACCGCUAUGGAGACAUAGCUUUCCCUUUUAGGGACAGUGGUGACAGGUGGUGCAUGGUUGUCGUCAGCUCGUGUCGUGAGAUGUUGGGUUAAGUCCCGCAACGAGCGCAACCCUUGUUCUUAGUUGCCAUCAUUUAGUUGGGCACUCUAAGGAGACUGCCGGUGACAAACCGGAGGAAGGUGGGGAUGACGUCAAAUCAUCAUGCCCCUUAUGACCUGGGCUACACACGUGCUACAAUGGACGGUACAAACGGUUGCCAACCCGCGAGGGGGAGCUAAUCCGAUAAAACCGUUCUCAGUUCGGAUUGUAGGCUGCAACUCGCCUACAUGAAGCCGGAAUCGCUAGUAAUCGCGGAUCAGCAUGCCGCGGUGAAUACGUUCCCGGGCCUUGCACACACCGCCCGU